UUUCCUCCAUCAAAAAAGGCUUACUUCAUAUCAUUUCUUUAGUAUAAAAUUAGAGGGCUGGACAAUAGGCCAAUGGUAAGAAAGUACAUUCUGCAAGAUAAGUCCUACUCAUCUGGACUGAUGUUUUUGAGUACAUCAGAUGGUCUUUGCAGGAAAUAACUGGUGACAGCUACAUGAUCCUGAAUAAAAUAUAAACUUCUCUCACUGGUGUUGUAAGAAACGCCUGCGGUUCAGAAUUUUCCUAGCAGAAUGUCGAUGCUUGGAGCAACAAGGACAUCAGAAGCAGAUGUGGACUUGCACACAAGGACACAUUGCAGGGAGGGCGCACACGCCCGACCGAUUCCGAGACUUCUUGCUCUAGGCACUAGAAAAGGAUACUUUAGAGGAUAAGAAAAAGAUACUUGAGAAGAAAUAGCUGAGAACACGGUGGUGGCUUUGAGGCUGAAUCUGGGAGUUGGCUGUAGCUUGUAUUUACUAACCCGAUAGUAACUAUUAAGAAAUUACAAAGCCAGCAUUGUAAUUUAAUAAAUAGCCAUGGAGACAGGGGUGGGGGAUGCUAGCAUGGCCAUUCCUCUUCUCCCUUAUCCAUGUAAAUAACACAUUUCCAGUCUCCGACUCUUCUUCCAAACCGUCUCCGCAACAACUGCAAGUUGGGUUCUCCAGGAAGACUCAGAGACGGACUCCUAGCAUGCAGGAGGUUUAUUAGAGGGCAGUUGGAAUCAAGUUCCCCUGUGGAAGACAAGCGAUGCACGCAGGAUUGAGCAAAGGGGAAAAGUAAAGUUGUAAUGCAGUCUCAACAGAAGCUUCAGCCAUGGUACCAUGGUACUUGUAGCUGCAGAAGUUAUUUUGCAACCAAGAGGAAAAGAUCAAGAGAAUUGUUAUGAGCUUGGUCUGACAUUUGUGAGCCGCUGACUAAAGCCACAAUAUUACUUCUGGGUUUCUUGCUCUUUAAGAAAAAUAACCCCUAAUUGUUUGAGUAGCUAAAAUUAGAUAGUUUGUCAUUGGCAGCAAAGCAUAAUUCAAAAUGAGCCAAGAGUUAUAAAAUAAAAUGAUGACUCUAUUGAAAAUAUAUAGUUGAUACAUGUAAUGUAUGUAUGUGUGAGUGGGUUUACUAAAUUGUAGUGUUUUCAAUAAAUUUUUGAAAACACAAAAAACUAUAUCUUUCUUCUGGGAUUUCAUACUGCAUAUUAUCAUAAAUGAUAUUGGUUAGUAGCUUUAAGAUGUUCUGCCAUAAAUAAACCUAUUU